GGUGGCAAUAGGGUUUAGGGUGUGGGUGAUGGGGAGAAAGGAGUGAGGAUCAUGGGUGGCAAUGGAGAGUGGGUAUAGGCAGGCAAUGGGGAGGAAGGAGUGAGGAUCAUGGGUGGCAAUGGAGAGUGGGUAUAGACAGGCAAUGGGGAGGAAGGAGUGGGGGUCAUGGGUGGCAAUGGAGAGUGGGUAUAGGCAGGCAAUGGGGAGGAAGGAGUGAGGAUCAUGGGUGGCAAUGGAGAGUGGGUAUAGGCAGGCAAUGGGGAGGAAGGAGUGGGGGUCAUGGGUGGCAAUGGAGAGUGGGUAUAGGCAGGCAAUGGGGAGGAAGGAGUGGGGGUCAUGGGUGGCAAUGGAGAGUGGGUAUAGGCAGGCAAUGGGGAGGAAGGAGUGGGGGUCAUGGGUGGCAAUGGAGAGUGGGUAUAGACAGGCAAUGGGGAGGAAGGAGUGGGGGUCAUGGGUGGCAAUGGAGAGUGGGUAUAGGCAGGCAAUGGGGAGGAAGGAGUGAGGAUCAUGGGUGGCAAUGGAGAGUGGGUAUAGGCAGGCAAUGGGGAGGAAGGAGUGAGGAUCAUGGGUGGCAAUGGGGUGUGAGGAGGAGAAGGAAAAGUAGGAAGAACAGAAGGAAAAGUAGAAAGAUGAAAAGGAAAAGCAGAAAAAAAGAAGGAAAAGUAGAAAAAAGAGAAGGAAAAGUAGAAAGAUGAGAGGGAAAAGUAGAGGAAAGAAAAGUGGAAAAAUAGAAAAAAGACAAGGAAAAGUAGGAAGAAAAGGAAAAGUAGAAAAAGAGGGAAAAGUAGAAAGAGAAGGAAAAGUAGAAAGAAGAGAAGGAAAAGUAGAAAAAAAGAGGGAAAAGUAGAAAGAAGAGAAGGAAAAGUAGAAAGAAGAGAAGGAAAAGUAGAAAGAAGAGAAGGAAAAGUAGAAAAAAAGAAAAGGAAAAGUAGAAAAGAGAAGGAAAAGUAGAAAAAAGAGAAGGAAAAGUAGAAAGAAGAGAAGGAAAAGUAGAAAAAAGAGAAGGAAAAGUAGAAAGAAGAGAAGGAAAAGUAGAAAAAGGAAAAGGAAAAGUAGAAAAGAGAAGCAAAAGUAGAAAAAGGAAAAGGAAAAGUAGAAAAAGGGAAGGAAAAGUAGAAAAAAGUAAAGGAAAAGUAGGAAGAAGAGGAGGAAAAGUAAGAAAAACAGAAGGAAAAGUAGGAAGAAGAGAAGGAAAAGUAGAAAGAUGAGGAGGAAAAGUAGAAAGAUGAGGAGGAAAAGUAGAAAGAUGAGGAGGAAAGGUAGAAAGAUGAGGAGGAAAAGUAGAAAGAUGAGGAGGAAAGGUAGAAAGAUGAGGAGGAAAGGUAGAAAGAUGAGGAGGAAAAGUAGAAAGAUGAGGAGGAAAGGUAGAAAGAUGAGGAGGAAAGGUAGAAAGAUGAGGAGGAAAAGUAGAAAGAUGAGGAGGAAAAGUAGAAAGAUAAGGAGGAAAAGUAGAAAGAUGAGGAAGAAAAGUAGAAAGAUGAGGAGGAAAAGUAGAAAGAUGAGGAGGAAAAGUAGAAAGAUGAGGAGGAAAAGUAGAAAGAUGAGGAGGAAAAGUAGAAAGAUGAGAAGGAAAAGUAGAAAGAUGAGGAGGAAAAGUAGAAAGAUGAGGAGGAAAAGUAGAAAGAUGAGGAGGAAAAGUAGAAAGAUGAGGAGGAAAAGUAGAAAGAUGAGGAGGAAAAGUAGAAAGAUGAGGAAAAGUAGAAAGAUGAGGAGGAAAAGUAGAAAGAUGAGGAGGAAAAGUAGAAAGAUGAGGAGGAAAAGUAGAAAGAUGAGGAGGAAAAGUAGAAAGAUGAGGAGGAAGGGUAGAAAAAUGGAGGGGAAGUAGAAGGAAGAGAAGGAAAAGUAGAAAGAAGAUCAGAAAAAGUAGAAAGAGAAGGAAAAGAAAAAAGAAAAAGUAGAAAAAAGAGAAGGAAAAGUAGGAAGUAGAGAAGGAUAAGUAGAAAGAUGAAAAGGAAAAGUAGGAAGAGAAGGAAAAGUAGAAAAAUGAGAAGGAAAAGUAGAGAAAAGAGAAUGAAAAGUAGAAAAAAGAGAAGGGAAAGUAGAAAAAAAGUGAAGGAAAAGUAGGAAAAAGAGAAGGAAAAGUAGAGAAAAGAGAAGGAAAAGUAGAAAGAAGAGAAGGAAAAGUAGAGAAAAGAGAAGGUAAAGCAGAAAGAAGAGAAGGAAAAGUAGAGAAAAGAGAAGGAAAAGCAGAAAGAAGAGAAGGAAAAGUAGAGAAAAGAGAAGGAUAAGUAGAAAGAGAAGGAAAAGAGGGAAAAGUAGAGGGAAUGAAGGGAUGGGGUGGUAGAUGAAGGGGGAUUGGAAGGGAAAGGGAUAUUGAAAAGUUUCUGUGAUGGUAAUUGAAGGAACCUUACUGGGAGUGACUAACGGAAGGGGGAUUGCAAGGGAAAGGAAGGGUACUAGAGUGUAUGAUGGUACUUGAAGGAAACUAGAAUGGUUUUCAUAUAUAUUCAGUCUCAAUGGCUCCAUUAAAAAGGCUCAGAAAAUACUGGCAAUGGUUUUCAUGCCGUGAGUGUUCAGUCUCAAUAUUCAAUCAAAAGGCUUAGAAUGUAUUUGCAAUAGUUUUUAUGCAAGUUUUUAGUCCCAACAACUUCACAAGAGGCUUAGGAAGAGGGAAUGAUUUAUAUAUAAGUGUACAGUCCCAAGACCUUAAUUUAAAAGGGUUAAGAAGCAGGAUUGCUUUUUAUAUCAGUGUACAAUCAAAAAAGCUUCCCACAAAAGACUUAGUUAACAGCAAUACUUCUUAUAUCAGAGAAUAAUCAGAAUGGUUACAAUCAUAAGGAUUAGAAAACAGCAAUACUUUAUAUAUAUAAGAGUGUACAGUCCCAACAGCUUCACUCAAAAGGCUUAGGAAACAGCAAUAGUUAUGUAAGAAUGCACAUCCCAGUAGAUUCACUUAAAGGGCCAAGGGAGUAACAGUAAUGGUUCCUGGUCCUCACUGGGAUUGAUGAGGGUGUCUCCUGAAGGAAUUAGAAUACCAAAGCCAUGCGUUGUUACUAUUCUUGUGGGAGGACCUUGUGAUGGUAGUAUGGUACACACACAGUGAAAGCAAAGAAUAAAAUGGGGAUCAAUCCUUGUAACCAUAAGCAAAGACUAACACAUCAAGGCACUGACUAUUACUCAUGUGGAAGAUGAUGAUGGCACAAGUGUACCAGGGUGAAAGCUGAAACUUGUAUGAGAAUCAAUGAAGUGGAGCCACAAGCAGAGUCUCAAAUGUGGAGUACACCUGAGCCAUCUAUAGGUCAAGGUACAGCAGCUCUUUCAGUCUUAUAAGAGAACCUUGUGAUUGUGCUAAGGUAUGCAUACAAUGGAGGCAGAAAUGAGAGUAGAAUUAAUUGAAAUAAUAAGGUAAGACUUAAAAUAUGAGGAAUAUGCUUGAGUCUUCAAUAAGCAAAAGAACGAGCUAUUUGCUGACUAACUAGUGGAGGCGGGGCAGCACAAGGACCACCCAGCCCAGCGACAGGAUCACUGACAAUGCCUCUAACAGUGACGCUCCACAACAGAAUCAACGGAACAAACAAACGCUACACACAGCACCAGCGCAAUGUAAGGAAAUGCAAGUGUAGAGAAAUCUGUGUUGUGCUUCUUCCUGUGAAACGCAACACCAGCUCAAAACCAACAAGUAUAUAUAUUUUAGGCGAAAAAAUAUUCAAAUAGCAAAAGAGAAUAGAUCUGAGGGUUCUCUGGAUGGCUGAGAAU